CAUUUUCUUAUCCGCGCGUCAUAAACGAAAAACAGGAAUCGCUGAACAUUUUACAAUCGAGUUACAGCACUGAUGUCGCCACAAUCUUUCAAUAAGGUUUCCUGCACCCAGGUCUUAUUUCCUGAAGCCACAGACCUUCCGAAAUGGCUGCUCAGUGACACCACCCGCAGACACAUUCAAGAUUGAUUCCUUCAAUCACGAGUCCGAUGAUGGAUACCUUUUUGAAGGUGACUGAAGCCCCCAUUUUG